UACGGAGGGUGCAAGCGUUAACCGGAAUUACUGGGCGUAAAGCGUGCGCAGGCGGUUUGUUAAGUCCGUUGUGAAAGCCCCGAGCUCAACUUGGGAAUUGCAGUGGAUACUGGCAGGCUGGAGUACGGUAGAGGAAGGUGGAAUUCCCGGUGUAGCAGUGAAAUGCGUAGAUAUCGGGAGGAACACCAGUGGCGAAGGCGGCGUCCUGGCCUGCGACUGACGCUGUGGCGCGAAAGCGUGGGGAGCAAACAGG
rnacentral:rRNA from 1 species